CUGCAGCCCGAGUGGUGACCACUAUUAUUGGGCCUAAAACGUUCGUAGCCGGUUUGGUAAAUGCCUGGGUAAAUCGUGUAGCUUAACUAUACGAAUUCCGGGUAGACUGCCAAACUUGAGACCGGGAGAAGCUAGAGGUACUCCUGGGGUAGAGGUGAAAUUCUGUAAUCCUGGGGGGACCACCAGUGGCGAAGGCGUCUAGCUAGAACGGGUCUGACGGUGAGGAACGAAGCCCUGGGGCGCAAACCGGAUUAGAUACCCGAGUAGUCC
rnacentral:rRNA from 1 species